rnacentral:rRNA from 1 species
GACGAACGCUGGCGGCGUGCUUAACACAUGCAAGUCGAACGAAGUGGCGAACGGGUGAGUAACGCGUAAUCAACCUGCCCUUCAGAGGGGGACAACAGUUGGAAACGAAUGCUAAUACCGCAUACGGAAGGAGGGGAUUGCGUGUGAUUAGCUAGUUGGAGGGGUAACGGCCCACCAAGGCGAUGGUCAGUAGCCGGUCUGAGAGGAUGGACUGCCACAUUGGGACCGAGACACGGCCCAGAAUCCCAAGGGAGGCAGGAGUUGGGAAUUUUCCGCCAUGGACGAAAAUCUGGCGGAGCCACGCCCCGUGAGAGAUGACGGCCUUUGGGUUGGCAAGCUCUGUUAAGCGGGAAGCGGUACCUGAAUAGAAAGCCACGGCUAACUACGUGCCAGCAGCCGCGGUAAUAC